rnacentral:lncRNA from 1 species
AUACUUUGAAAAAUUGGUAUUUUGAGGGGCCGGUGUACCCUGUUUUAAAAUAUUUGUACAUGUUUGGGAUAUUUGAUUUUAAUUUCAAGUGGUUUUAGUCCAUUUUUCAGAGGGAACUUUGCUGAAUUUUUUUAUAAAAUUAUAACAGUCAAAGCAUGUCAAGUUUGCCUUGGUGGUGGGUCCGGCACUUCGCUGGUAUCUACCAUCAGCGCACGACACGUGUUGGAUCCAUUAGGGUGGUUCGGGACGGGUCGUGUCAAUUGGUAUAAGAGCCAGGUUAUAAAGUCAGUUUGCAUGGUUUAUUUGAUUUUCGUUCUCAUCAUAUCAUACAUAUUUUGUAGUUGGAAGUCAUGGCUCGUGGUAAUAAGACACGCAGGCUCCAAGAUAUGUCGUCUCAACCACCAGCUACUCCUGAUAGGGAUGCCAGUAGGGUCGAGGAAUUAGUUCAUCCAACCCAUGAUUAGCAGAGAUAUGGGGAUGUAGCCCAGCAUGACUUAAUAGCUGAUAGGAUUGCCACCGCUGUUGCUUCUGCUCUACGCAAUACAGAUAAAGAUUGUAGUAAAGAGCGGGCUACUAAAUUAGGAGAUAAAGUGUUUACAGGCAUAGUUGAUCCAGUAGAAGUAGAAUCAUAGAUGGUGAGGAUUGAAAGAAUAUUUGAUGUGAUGGAUUUUCCUGAUGAUCGAAAAUUACGACUAGCUACUUUCUUGUUAGAAGGAAGUGCUUAUGAUUGGUGGAGGUCCGUACAGAGUAAAUAUGUUGAUCCUUCUGUGAUCACGUGGGGCGAGUUUAAAGAUGAUUUUAAUGAACAUUUCUACCCUCGUUCUUACAAGACUAACAAACAUAAUGAAUUUUUGAGACUAGUACAGACAUCAAUAGUGGCGGAAUAUUAGAAGAAAUUUCUAGAAUUAUCAAAGUAUGUUGCUGCUCUUAUAGCUGAUGAAGUUGAUAAAUGCAAAAGAUUUGAGUAUGGCCUGAGAGAAGAAAUUAGAUCAGUGGUGACUGCGUUUGGGUAUGAAAAUUUGGGUAAACUUGUAAAAGCAGCAUUAAGGGAUGAGAAAAGUUUGUCUGAAGGACAUGGUGGUCAACAACAAAUGAGACCGGGAAUUGGAAACAGUAGUCAGAUAUGGGCAAGAAGAUCUAUGACUAGGCCACUGAGGAGGGAUCGCAGAGGAGGUAGAUUAGGUGUUUCCACUUCUUGUAGUUUUAAGUCCAGAUCUCAUGGCAGUCGGGGCUCGAGGUCGAGUCAGGGAUCAGUACAGCAGCCAGGGAGUAACCGUACUCAGACUCAGGGAUCAUUUACUCUUGGACAGAGUGAUAACUCUGGUGUGGCUAGAUUUCCCCAGUGCCAGUUACGUGGGGAAUUUCACCCUGGUGAGUGUCUUAAGGGAAUUGGAGUGUGUUAUCAUUGUGGUUAGACAGAACACGUGAGGAGAGAGUGUCCAGUUCGUUUCCAGCAGGGUGGCAUACCACAGGGGGUUUCUUUGCGAUCGGGUGCUGGCAUUUCUAGACAGAAUCGAAUCAAAAUACUUUGGCAGGCAA